rnacentral:rRNA from 1 species
GACGGAGGGUGCAAGCGUUGUUCGGAAUCAUUGGGCGUAAAGGGCGCGCAGGCGGCCUCCCAUGUCCGGUGUGAAAGCCCGGGGCUCAAGUCCGGAAGCGCACGGGAAACUGGGUGGCUUGAGUCCGAGAGGGGACCGUGGAAUUUCUGGUGUAGGGGUGAAAUCCGUAGAGAUCAGAAGGAACACCGGAGGUGAAAACGACGGUCUGGAUCGGGACUGACGCUGAGGCGCGAAAGCGCGGGUAGCGAACAGG